rnacentral:rRNA from 1 species
AAUAACAGAUGGAAACGUCUGCUAAUGCCGCAUAAGCGCACACUGUGGCAUCACAGAGUGUGAAAAACUCCGGUGGUAUGAGAUGGCCCCGCGUCUGAUUAGGCAGUUGGCGGGGUAACGGCCCACCAAACCGACGAUCAGUAGCCGACCUGAGAGGGUGACCGGCCACAUUGGGACUGAGACACGGCCCAAACUCCUACGGGAGGCAGCAGUGGGGAAUAUUGCACAAUGGGGGAAACCCUGAUGCAGCGACGCCGCGUGGGUGACGAAGUAUUUCGGUAUGUAAAGCCCUAUCAGCAGGGAAGAAGUUGACAGUACCUGACUAAGAAGCCCCGGCUAACUACGUGCCAGCAGCCGCGGUAAUACGUAGGGGGCAAGCGUUAUCCGGAUUUACUGGGUGUAAAGGGAGCGUAGACGGCGCUGCAAGUCUGAUGUGAAAACCCGGGGCUCAACCCCGGGAGUGCAUUGGAAACUGUGGUGCUAGAGUGUCGGAGAGGCAAGUGGAAUUCCUAGUGUAGCGGUGAAAUGCGUAGAUAUUAGGAGGAACACCAGUGGCGAAGGCGGCUUGCUGGACGAUGACUGACGUUGAGGCUCGAAAGCGUGGGGAGCAAACAGGAUUAGAUACCCUGGUAGUCCACGCCGUAAACGAUGACUGCUAGGUGUCGGGGGGCAUGGCCCUUCGGUGCCGCAGCAAACGCAAUAAGCAGUCCACCUGGGGAGUACGUUCGCAAGAAUGAAACUCAAAGGAAUUGACGG